UAAAAGCUUGAAGUUUUAGAAUUUGGUUAGUAAUGACUGGAUUUUGCUUUAGCUGGAUCUUAAUCUCUGAAAGGAAGUUUUCUUUCUCUUUUUAUUUUCUCUCUGAGCUUUUCAUAGCGCUCAGAGUGAAUGGAUAGUUUAGGAAAACUGUAGUUGCAAUCUGGAGUCUGGUACAUCCAACCUGUCUUUCAUGAUCCAGAUGGGAUGAGGAAAUGCUGGCAGAGGUUGAUGACUGCUGACAGUGAGUGAGACAGCCUUGCUCCAGCAGUUGGUGCGGGUGGCAUUUCUCAUUGCAGUGUCCAUGACCUCGGCUCUGCUGGAUGGAGAACACAAUGAUGUGGAUGACUUUUUUCAGGCUGUCCAGUGGCUUGAGUGCCACACAUUAGAGGUGCACUGAUAGAUAAACAUGGGAAAGGUUAAUUUCUGCUCUGUUCAUUUUACUGGUCCCUCCAUGGAAGGAGAAGUUCAGCCUUCCAGGCUGUGGUAACUUUGAAAACAAGUCGGAAUGGCGAUGAGUAGCUUCCUGCCCACCUCCUCAAAAUGAAGCAGUUCAAAUGCCCCCCACGGUCCUUUUCAGUGGUUCCCAUGGCUGUAUGAAU